UUUGUUUGUGUGUCUGCAUUUUACUGAGAAGAACAAAAGAGUGAAUAUGGUUUUUAAAAAUUAUUUCUUACACUUUGAAAUAUCAAAGUUGUUGUUGUUUAUUUACUUAUUCUACUUUUCAAUCAAUUCUUAGGUCAUUCUAUUUUUAAUUCAUUUGUAUGUCAUUUACUUAUUCUACUUUUUAAUGCAUUUUAUGUCAUUUUACUUAUUCUAUUUUUA
rnacentral:lncRNA from 1 species